rnacentral:rRNA from 1 species
UACAGAGGGGGGCUAGCGUUGUUCGGAAUUACUGGGCGUAAAGCGCACGUAGGCGGACCAGCAAGUUAGGGGUGAAAUCCCGGGGCUCAACCCCGGAACUGCCUUUAAAACUGUUGGUCUGGAGGUCGAGAGAGGUGAGUGGAAUUCCGAGUGUAGAGGUGAAAUUCGUAGAUAUUCGGAGGAACACCAGUGGCGAAGGCGGCUCACUGGCUCGAUACUGACGCUGAGGUGCGAAAGCGUGGGGGAGCAAACAGG